CACGCCCUAAACGAUGUCAACUAGUUGUUGGGGAUUCAUUUUCUCAGUAACGUAGCUAACGCGUGAAGUUGACCGCCUGGGGAGUNCGCGAAAAACCUUACCUACCCUUGACAUGCCACUAACGAAGCAGAGAUGCAUUAGGUGCCCGAAAGGGAAAGUGGACACAGGUGC
rnacentral:rRNA from 1 species